rnacentral:rRNA from 1 species
UACGAAGGACCCAAGCGUUAUCCGGAUUUAUUGGGUUUAAAGGGUGCGUAGGCGGGUUAUUAAGUCAGUGGUGAAAGCCUACAGCUUAACUGUAGAAUUGCCAUUGAUACUGAUGAUCUUGAGUGUGAUUGAGGUGGGCGGAAUGUGUCAUGUAGCGGUGAAAUGCUUAGAUAUGACACAGAACACCGAUUGCGAAGGCAGCUCACUAAGUCAAUACUGACGCUGAUGCACGAAAGCGUGGGGAGCAAACAGG